UACGGAGGAUGCAAGCGUUAUCCGGAAUGAUUGGGCGUAAAGCGUCCGCAGGUGGCUGUGUAAGUCUGCUGUCAAAGAGCGAAGCUCAACUUCGUAAAGGCAGUGGAAACUACACGGCUAGAGUGCGUUCGGGGCAGAGGGAAUUCCUGGUGUAGCGGUGAAAUGCGUAGAGAUCAGGAAGAACACCGGUGGCGAAGGCGCUCUGCUAGGCCGCAACUGACACUGAGAGACGAAAGCUAGGGGAGCGAAUGGG
rnacentral:rRNA from 1 species